AGAGUUUGAUCAUGGCUCAGAUUGAACGCUAGCGGCAUGCUUUACACAUGCAAGUCGAACGGCAGCGCGGGGCAACCUGGCGGCGAGUGGCGAACGGGUGAGUAAUGCAUCGGAACGUGCCCUGGAGUGGGGGAUAGCCCGGCGAAAGCCGGAUUAAUACCGCAUACGACCUACGGGUGAAAGCGGGGGACCGAAAGGCCUCGCGCCCUGGGAUCGGCCGAUGUCAGAUUAGGUAGUUGGUGGGGUAAAGGCCUACCAAGCCGACGAUCUGUAGCUGGUCUGAGAGGACGACCAGCCACACUGGGACUGAGACACGGCCCAGACUCCUACGGGAGGCAGCAGUGGGGAAUUUUGGACAAUGGGGGCAACCCUGAUCCAGCAAUGCCGCGUGCGGGAAGAAGGCCUUCGGGUUGUAAACCGCUUUUGUUGGGGACGAAACAGCUUGAGCUAAUACCUUAGGCGAAUGACGGUACCCAAAGAAUAAGCACCGGCUAACUACGUGCCAGCAGCCGCGGUAAUACGUAGGGUGCAAGCGUUAAUCGGAAUUACUGGGCGUAAAGCGUGCGCAGGCUGUUGCGUAAGACAGAUGUGAAAUCCCUGGGCUUAACCUAGGAAUUGCAUUUGUGACUGCGCGGCUAGAGUGCGGCAGAGGGGGAUGGAAUUCCGCGUGUAGCAGUGAAAUGCGUAGAUAUGCGGAGGAACACCGAUGGCGAAGGCAAUCCCCCUGGGCCUGCACUGACGCUCAUGCACGAAAGCGUGGGGAGCAAACAGGAUUAGAUACCCUGGUAGUCCACGCCCUAAACGAUGUCAACUGGUUGUUGGGAGGGUUUCUUCUCAGUAACGAAGCUAACGCGUGAAGUUGACCGCCUGGGGAGUACGGCCGCAAGGUUGAAACUCAAGGAAUUGACGGGGACCUGCACAAGCGGUGGAUGAUGUGGUUUAUUCGAUGCACGCGAAAACCUUACCUACCCUUGACAUGCCAAGAACUUGCCAGAGAUGGCUCGGUGCUCGAAAGAGAACUUGGACACAGGUGCUGCAUGGCCGUCGUCAGCUCGUGUCGUGAGAUGUUGGGUUAAGUCCCGCAACGAGCGCAACCCUUAUCGUUAGUUGCUACGCAAGGGCACUCUAACGAGACUGCCGGUGACAAACCGGAGGAAGGUGGGGAUGACGUCAGGUCAUCAUGGCCCUUAUGGGUAGGGCUACACACGUCAUACAAUGGCCGGUACAGAGGGCUGCCAACCCGCGAGGGGGAGCUAAUCUCAGAAAACCGGUCGUAGUCCGGAUCGCAGUCUGCAACUCGACUGCGUGAAGCCGGAAUCGCUAGUAAUCGCGGAUCAGCUUGCCGCGGUGAAUACGUUCCCGGGUCUUGUACACACCGCCCGUCACACCAUGGGAGCGGGUUCUGCCAGAAGUAGUUAGCCUAACCGCAAGGGGGGCGAUUACCACGGCAGGGUUCGUGACUGGGGUGAAGUCGUAACAAGG
rnacentral:rRNA from 1 species